rnacentral:rRNA from 1 species
GAUGAACGCUGGCGGCGUGCUUAACACAUGCAAGUCGAACGGUGAACACGGAGCUUGCUCUGUGGGAUCAGUGGCGAACGGGUGAGUAACACGUGAGCAACCUGCCCCUGACUCUGGGAUAAGCGCUGGAAACGGCGUCUAAUACUGGAUACGAGUAGCGGCCGCAUGGUCAGUUACUGGAAAGAUUUUUGGUUGGGGAUGGGCUCGCGGCCUAUCAGCUUGUUGGUGAGGUAAUGGCUCACCAAGGCGUCGACGGGUAGCCGGCCUGAGAGGGUGACCGGCCACACUGGGACUGAGACACGGCCCAGACUCCUACGGGAGGCAGCAGUGGGGAAUAUUGCACAAUGGGCGAAAGCCUGAUGCAGCAACGCCGCGUGAGGGAUGACGGCCUUCGGGUUGUAAACCUCUUUUAGCAGGGAAGAAGCGAAAGUGACGGUACCUGCAGAAAAAGCGCCGGCUAACUACGUGCCAGCCGCCGCGGUAA